AUUGAACGCUGGCGGCAGGCCUAACACAUGCAAGUCGAACGGUAACAGGAAGAAGCUUGCUUCUUUGCUGACGAGUGGCGGACGGGUGAGUAAUGUCUGGGAAACUGCCUGAUGGAGGGGGAUAACUACUGGAAACGGUAGCUAAUACCGCAUAAUGUCGCAAGACCAAAGAGGGGGACCUUCGGGCCUCUUGCCAUCGGAUGUGCCCAGAUGGGAUUAGCUAGUAGGUGGGGUAACGGCUCACCUAGGCGACGAUCCCUAGCUGGUCUGAGAGGAUGACCAGCCACACUGGAACUGAGACACGGUCCAGACUCCUACGGGAGGCAGCAGUGGGGAAUAUUGCACAAUGGGCGCAAGCCUGAUGCAGCUAUGCCGCGUGUAUGAAGUAGGCCUUCGGGUUGUAAAGUACUUUCAGCGGGGAGGAAGGGAGUAAAGUUAAUACCUUUGCUCAUUGACGUUACCCGCAGAAGAAGCACCGGCUAACUCCGUG
rnacentral:rRNA from 1 species